UACGGAGGGAGCAAGCGUUACUCGGAAUUAUUGGGCGUAAAGGGCGCGUAGGCGAUCUGACAAGUCUGGUGUGAAAGCCCACAUGUUAACUGUGGAAGUGCAUUAGAAACUGUUGGAUUUGAGUUCAGGAGAGGAAGGCAGAAUUCCCGGUGUAGCGGUGAAAUGCGUAGAGAUCGGGAGGAAUACCAGUGGCGAAGGCGGCCUCUCGGACUGACACUGACGCUGAGGCGCGAAAGCCAGGGGAGCAAACGGG
rnacentral:rRNA from 1 species